UUAGGCACUCGAGAAACUUAACCGCCAGUUAGCUGAAGCUGAGGCUGAGGUCGAGGCACGCAAAAGGCCUCCAGAAGAUACAGGUCCAAAGAUUGUUGGAGAAGGUCUUGUUAUAGACGAAUGGAAAGAAAGAAGGGAAAGGUAUCUUGCGCGGCAACAGGUUGAUGGAGUUGAUUCAGUAUAGAAGCUCUCUUUUCCGUGGAUGCAUGGUUAAGAAGAAUUUCUAUGAUAAGCAACUGAAUUUUUUCAUACUACUGCCUGCAAAUUUAGAGAACAGUUUAAGAGGUAUACAGAAGCCAGUAUUUCUUCUAAAAAGUUGAAAUUGAUGUUUCGUGUUACUCUCAAUCCAUUCGAUCCUGGAUCCUUGCCUUUUAACUUUUGCUUGUAUAUAAGAGAAAACUCGCAAAGUUCCUUCCAUAAUUAAUGAACAAUUGCCUCCAUUCUGUUUCUUUCCUUAUUGAUUCUUUAGGUUCUCUGAAACUUCUAAGCCUGUAGUUCUUACAAGCCAUUUUGCACUUCUGUCAUAAUGCACAUAAGUGAGCUUCUUCACAACCCCUUGCAAACGUUGGACCAUUGAUUGUAAUAGUUUCAAUUUAUUUUCAUGUUUAAGACUAGAAAAGAUAUUCCAUUUGAUAUUGUUGUUG